CACGUAGGGCGCAAGCGUUGUCCGGAAUUAUUGGGCGUAAAGAGCUCGUAGGCGGUCUGUUGCGUCCGCUGUGAAAACCCGGGGCUUAACCCUGGGCUGGCAGUGGAUACGGACAGACUAGAGGUAGGUAGGGGAGAAUGGAAUUCCCGGUGUAGCGGUGAAAAUGCGCAGAUAUCGGAAGGAACACCGGUGGCGAAGGCGGUUCUCUGAGCCUUACCUGACGCUGAGGAGCGAAAAGCGUGGGGAGCGAACAGG
rnacentral:rRNA from 1 species